CCAUGGCAACCAGGGACGGCUUUCUCCUUCCUAAACCCACCAAGGCCUGAGGGGGCUUUUCAGGCUCCUGGUACAUUUCUCAGAAAUAUGCUAAAAAGGCUUGGCAUGAUCUCGGGGAGAAGUCUAGGUAGAGCAGAGAGGCAAAGAGCAGAGCUUGCCUCCUGCCUCAGCCUGCAGAGGCCAAGGCUCAGCCCAGCACUUCCUUGGUGCCCGUGUUCUCCCAAAGGGAUCCCAAAGAAGAGCCACUAAGCAGCAGCACACCAUCUCUGCCUCUCCCAUCAAAGCCAGGCUCACCCAGGAAACGCAGGAGAGGGUCAAAUCCAUCACAGGCAUGGCAAAGGCAGGUCAUGGUCUCCGACAGAACACCAUCUGUGAGCCUGGUGACACCCAGCUCUGCAGGGUCAUCUUAUCCAGUAGACUCGACGCACUAACACUGACUCCACAGGCAACAGCACCGUCUCAGGCUGACAGAAGUUUAUCAAACACGCACAUCCACUCUGAAAGAUGUACUGCAGCUUCUUCACGCUUAGGAACACCAGACACCACUUGGGGGGUGGUACUUCACCCCCAGAUGAAAGCACGGAAAAGUUCUCAAGGCAUGGAGCUAAGUGGCCUAUAGGAAGAAGUGUGUACAGUAUGAACUAAUAUGAGAAGCCUGAAUGUUGCCUUGUUCUGCGUCCCCAGGAAGCAUGGCUGUUAAUGUGAGUCCAAAUCUCACUGCUCUGCUGACGUCCAUGAAUGGCUGAGAAAGUGCUUUGAGAAUCUAUCUGGGGACUACAUAGAAAUAUUAGCACCUGGGAGACUUUGAAAAUGGAGAAUGUGGACAUAGUAAAAUUUGUGUGUAUAUGCA